AAAAAGGCUCUUUUUAGAGCCACCAAAUCUUCAUAAAAGGAGCUA
rfam:Rattus norvegicus chromosome 2, whole genome shotgun sequence.